GUGAGGAAUAUUGGUCAAUGGGCGGAAGCCUGAACCAGCCAUGCCGCGUGAAGGACGAAGGCGUUCUGCGUUGUAAACUUCUUUUAUAAGGGACGAAAAAAGGCUUUUCUAAGUCGUCUGACGGUACCUUAUGAAUAAGCACCGGCUAACUCCGUGCCAGCAGCCGCGGUAAUACGGAGGGUGCAAGCGUUAUCCGGAUUCACUGGGUUUAAAGGGUGCGUAGGCGGGCAGGUAAGUCAGUGGUGAAAUCCUAGAGCUUAACUCUAGAACUGCCAUUGAUACUAUCUGUCUUGAAUAUUGUGGAGGUAAGCGGAAUAUGUCAUGUAGCGGUGAAAUGCUUAGAUAUGACAUAGAACACCUAUUGCGAAGGCAGCUUACUACGCAUAUAUUGACGCUGAGGCACGAAAGCGUGGGGAUCAAACAGGAUUAGAAACCCCUGUAGUCC
rnacentral:rRNA from 1 species